rnacentral:misc_RNA from 1 species
AAGUCGUAACAAGGUUUCCGUAGGUGAACCUGCGGAAGGAUCAUUAACACGUAUCCAAACGUUAAAACAACCCUGUGAAUAUUGAAUCUCAGUUCCCCCAGGGCAGAAAAAUCGGCUUCCUCUAGUAAAUCAUUGUCUUAACAAGGUUUUGCCGGUCGAUGGCCGUGUGGACCACCGAUCGUUGACUGCGCUGCCCUUGCACAAUUCACCAAACACUUUCAGAUUGAUGGUUGCUUGGGGGAACCAGGAGUGGAUAGUUGUAAACGCUCACCCAAUACAGGUGCUACUCGUGCGCCAUCCUCUAACUCUUCAGGUUGAACAUGAUGCAUGUAUACCGCGCCCGACGAAAGUCCGCGCACCCCUAACCGAACAACUGUUAACAAUGGAUAUCUUGGUUCUC